rnacentral:rRNA from 1 species
GUGCAGCAGGCGCGAAAACUUUACCAUGCGGGAAACCGUGAUAAGGGGACACCGAGUGCCAGCAUCAUAUGCUGGCUGUCCAGAUGUGUAAAAUACAUCUGUUAGCAAGGGCCGGGCAAGACCGGUGCCAGCCGCCGCGGUAACACCGGCGGCCCGAGUGGUGAUCGUGAUUAUUGGGUCUAAAGGGUCCGUAGCCGGUUUGGUCAGUCCUCCGGGAAAUCUGAUAGCUCAACUAUUAGGCUUUCGGGGGAUACUGCCAGACUUGGAACCGGGAGAGGUAAGAGGUACUACAGGGGUAGGAGUGAAAUCUUGUAAUCCCUGUGGGACCACCUGUGGCGAAGGCGUCUUACCAGAACGGGUUCGACGGUGAGGGACGAAAGCUGGGGGCACGAACCGGAUUAGAUACCCGGGUAGUCCCAGCCGUAAACGAUGCUCGCUAGGUGUCAGACAUGGCGCGACCGUGUCUGGUGCCGCAGGGAAGCCGUGAAGCGAACCACCUGGGAAGUACGGCCGCAAGGCUGAAACUUAAAGGAAUUGGCGGGGGAGCAC